rnacentral:pre_miRNA from 1 species
CAAAUACUCCCUCUGUCCCAAAUUUCUUGUCUUACAUUUUUCUAGAUACGGAUGUAUCUAAUACUAAAAUGUGACUUGAUACAUCCGUAUCUAGACAAAUCUAAGACAAGAAUUUUGGGAUGGAGGGAGUACUUU